GAUGAACGCUGGCGGCGUGCCUAAUACGUGCAAGUCGAGCGAACGGACGAGAAGCUUGCUUCUCUGAUGUUAGCGGCGGACGGGUGAGUAACACGUGGAUAACCUACCUAUAAGACUGGGAUAACUUCGGGAAACCGGAGCUAAUACCGGAUAAUAUUUUGAACCGCAUGGUUCAAAAGUGAAAGACGGUCUUGCUGUCACUUAUAGAUGGAUCCGCGCUGCAUUAGCUAGUUGGUAAGGUAACGGCUUACCAAGGCAACGAUGCAUAGCCGACCUGAGAGGGUGAACGGCCACACUGGAACUGAGACACGGUCCAGACUCCUACGGGAGGCAGCAGUAGGGAAUCUUCCGCAAUGGGCGAAAGCCUGACGGAGCAACGCCGCGUGAGUGAUGAAGGUCUUCGGAUCGUAAAACUCUGUUAUUAGGGAAGAACAUAUGUGUAAGUAACUGUGCACAUCUUGACGGUACCUAAUCAGAAAGCCACGGCUAACUACGUG
rnacentral:rRNA from 1 species